GAGACGCUUUACGGUGGCCGAGAGGCUGCAGCGGUUGUGUCUGUAGCAGCAUCCCCGGAGGAGUGGGGAACCUCGUUUACCUAAUCCAGCCCCCCGAGUCCGGGGAGCUGCCCCGGCAGCCGUCACCAUGGUGAAGGAGCAGUUCCGGGAGACGGAUGUGGCCAAGAAAAUAAGCCACAUCUGUUUUGGAAUGAAGUCACCCGAGGAGAUGCGCCAGCAGGCACACAUCCAGGUUGUGAGUAAGAACCUGUAUAGCCAGGACAACAACCACGCCCCCUUGCUGUACGGGGUGCUUGACCACAGGAUGGGCACCAGUGAGAAGGACCGUCCUUGUGAAACCUGUGGGAAAAACUUGGCUGACUGCCUGGGCCACUACGGAUACAUUGACCUGGAGCUGCCUUGUUUUCACGUGGGGUACUUCCGAGCCGUCAUAGGCAUCUUGCAGAUGAUCUGCAAAACCUGCUGCCACAUCAUGCUGUCCCAGGAGGAGAAGAAGCAGUUUCUGGAUUAUCUCAAGAGGCCUGGCCUGACCUACCUCCAGAAGCGAGGGCUGAAGAAGAAAAUCUCUGAUAAAUGCCGAAAGAAAAACAUCUGCCAUCACUGUGGCGCUUUCAAUGGUACUGUAAAGAAGUGUGGUUUACUGAAGAUAAUUCAUGAGAAAUACAAGACCAACAAAAAAGUGGUAGAUCCUAUCGUAUCGAAUUUCCUUCAUUCUUUUGAAACGGCCAUCGAGCACAACAAAGAAGUGGAGCCCCUGCUGGGGAGGGCACAGGAAAACUUGAAUCCCUUAGUAGUUCUGAAUUUAUUUAAGCAAAUCCCAGCGGAAGAUGUCCCUCUUCUUCUGAUGAACCCAGAAGCUGGAAAACCCUCCGAUUUGAUUCUCACGCGACUGUUAGUGCCCCCCUUGUGCAUCAGACCCUCCGUCGUGAGUGAUUUGAAGUCUGGCACCAAUGAAGAUGAUCUGACAAUGAAAUUGACAGAAAUCAUUUUCCUAAAUGAUGUCAUUAAAAAGCAUCGGAUAUCAGGAGCCAAGACCCAGAUGAUCAUGGAAGACUGGGACUUCUUGCAGCUGCAGUGUGCCCUCUACAUCAACAGCGAGCUCUCAGGCAUCCCCCUCAACAUGGCGCCCAAGAAAUGGACCCGGGGUUUUGUCCAGCGCCUGAAGGGAAAACAGGGUCGAUUUAGAGGCAACCUCUCAGGAAAGAGGGUGGAUUUUUCUGGCAGAACUGUCAUCUCACCUGACCCCAACCUCCGGAUUGAUGAGGUAGCUGUGCCAGUUCAUGUGGCCAAAAUUCUAACUUUUCCUGAGAAAGUAAACAAAGCAAACAUUAACUUUUUGAGGAAACUGGUUCAAAAUGGACCUGAAGUUCACCCAGGAGCCAAUUUCAUUCAGCAGAGACACACGCAGAUGAAAAGGUUUUUGAAAUACGGAAAUAGGGAAAAGAUGGCUCAGGAGCUCAAGUACGGGGACAUUGUGGAGAGACACCUCAUAGACGGGGAUGUGGUGCUGUUCAACCGGCAGCCCUCGCUGCACAAGCUGAGCAUCAUGGCACACCUGGCCAGGGUCAAGCCCCAUCGGACCUUCAGAUUUAACGAGUGUGUGUGUACACCCUACAAUGCGGAUUUUGAUGGCGAUGAGAUGAAUCUUCAUCUUCCACAAACAGAAGAAGCUAAAGCAGAGGCCCUUGUUCUAAUGGGGACUAAAGCAAAUCUUGUAACUCCAAGGAAUGGAGAACCACUAAUUGCUGCUAUUCAGGAUUUUCUAACAGGUGCCUAUCUCCUUACUCUUAAGGACACUUUCUUUGACCGAGCCAAGGCAUGCCAAAUCAUUGCUUCAAUACUGGUGGGCAAGGAUGAGAAAAUUAAAGUUCGCCUCCCGCCUCCUACAAUAUUAAAGCCUGUCACCCUGUGGACAGGAAAGCAGAUCUUCAGUGUCAUCCUCAGACCUAGUGAUGACAAUCCAGUGAGGGCCAACCUUCGAACCAAGGGCAAGCAGUACUGUGGCAAAGGAGAAGACCUCUGUGUCAAUGAUUCCUAUGUCACUAUCCAGAACAGUGAGCUGAUGAGUGGCAGCAUGGACAAAGGAACACUGGGAUCAGGAUCCAAGAACAAUAUUUUUUACAUUUUGCUGCGAGACUGGGGACAGAAUGAAGCUGCUGAUGCCAUGUCAAGGCUUGCCAGGCUGGCUCCUGUCUACCUCUCAAACCGUGGAUUCUCAAUUGGGAUUGGUGACGUCACACCUGGUCAAGGGCUGCUAAAGGCCAAGAAUGAGUUGCUGAACGCUGGCUACAAAAAAUGUGAUGAGUACAUCGAAGCCCUAAACACGGGCAAGCUGCAGCAGCAGCCUGGCUGCACUGCGGAGGAGACGCUGGAGGCUCUGAUCCUGAAGGAGCUGUCGGUGAUCCGAGACCAUGCGGGCAGCGCCUGCCUCCGGGAGCUGGACAAGAGCAACAGUCCCCUCACCAUGGCUCUGUGCGGCUCCAAAGGUUCCUUCAUUAACAUAUCACAGAUGAUUGCCUGUGUGGGACAGCAAGCCAUCAGUGGCUCCCGGGUGCCAGAUGGCUUUGAAAACAGGUCCUUGCCUCACUUUGAAAAACACUCAAAGCUCCCAGCUGCCAAAGGCUUUGUGGCUAAUAGCUUUUAUUCUGGUUUGACACCAACUGAGUUUUUCUUCCACACAAUGGCUGGCCGGGAAGGUCUAGUCGACACGGCCGUAAAGACAGCUGAAACGGGAUACAUGCAGAGAAGGCUUGUGAAGUCCCUUGAAGAUCUUUGUUCACAGUAUGAUUUGACAGUCCGAAGCUCUACGGGAGAUAUUAUACAGUUCAUUUACGGGGGAGAUGGCUUAGAUCCCGCAGCUAUGGAGGGAAAGGAUGAGCCCUUGGAGUUUAAAAGGGUUCUGGACAACAUCAAAGCAGUCUUCCCGUGUCAGAGCGAGCCUGCACUCAGUAAAAACGAACUGGUUCUGAGCACCGAGUCGAUCAUGAAGAAGCACGAGUUCCUCUGCUGCCAGGACAGCUUCCUGCAGGAAAUAAAGAACUUCAUUAAGGGGGUUUCUGAGAAGAUCAAGAAAACCAGAGAUAAAUAUGGCAUCAACGAUAACGGCACAACAGAGCCCCGGGUGCUGUACCAGUUGGACCGGAUCACCCCCACCCAAAUAGAAAAGUUUCUGGAGACCUGUAGGGACAAGUACAUGAGGGCACAGAUGGAGCCCGGUUCUGCGGUAGGCGCACUCUGUGCCCAGAGCAUCGGCGAGCCGGGCACCCAGAUGACCCUGAAGACGUUCCACUUCGCAGGCGUGGCCUCCAUGAACAUCACCCUGGGUGUGCCCCGCAUCAAAGAGAUCAUCAACGCUUCCAAAGCCAUCAGCACUCCAAUCAUCACGGCUCAGCUAGACAAGGAUGAGGAUGCAGAUUACGCUCGCCUCGUGAAAGGGAGAAUUGAGAAAACUCUCUUGGGAGAGAUUUCAGAGUAUAUCGAAGAAGUGUUCCUUCCCGACGACUGCUUUAUCCUCGUCAAACUCUCCCUGGAACGGAUUAGACUUCUGAGGCUGGAAGUGAACGCGGAGACGGUGCGGUACUCCAUCUGCAUGUCCAAGCUCCGAGUGAAGCCAGGCGACGUGGCUGUUCAUGGCGAGGCCGUGGUGUGUGUCACCCCCCGUGAGAACAGCAAGAGCUCCAUGUACUAUGUGCUGCAGUUCCUGAAGGAGGACCUCCCCAAGGUGGUGGUGCAGGGCAUCCCAGAGGUGUCCAGAGCCGUCAUCCACAUCGACGAGCAGAGUGGGAAGGAGAAGUACAAGCUCUUGGUGGAGGGCGACAACCUGCGGGCGGUCAUGGCCACUCACGGUGUGAAGGGCACCCGCACCACCUCCAAUAACACCUACGAGGUGGAGAAAACUCUGGGCAUUGAAGCUGCCCGGACAACGAUCAUCAAUGAGAUCCAGUACACGAUGGUCAACCACGGCAUGAGCAUCGACCGGAGGCACGUGAUGCUGCUCUCCGACCUCAUGACAUACAAGGGUGAAGUCCUGGGCAUCACUAGGUUUGGCCUGGCCAAGAUGAAGGAGAGUGUGCUGAUGCUGGCCUCCUUCGAGAAGACGGCUGACCACCUCUUCGACGCCGCCUACUUCGGGCAGAAGGACUCCGUGUGUGGGGUGUCCGAAUGCAUCAUCAUGGGGAUCCCCAUGAACAUUGGAACUGGGCUCUUCAAGCUGCUCCACAAGGCCAACAGGGACCCGAGCCCUCCCAGGAGGCCCCUGAUCUUCGACACAAAGGAAUUCCACAUCCCCCUUGUCACAUAGUCCCGGGAAGAGGGGACCACUCUGCCCUUGGCUCCUGUCUUGUCUAGAAAGGGGCUCGAGACCAGCAGCUGCCUCGGCUUUGUGCUCCUUGAAACAGAGGUCCUGAUGUCCCCACCAUGCCAGCAGCCAGGGCAGGCCCCCUGCACCCCGGGAGCGGCUCACCAGUGACCCUGACCACCCACAGUGCUUGGCCAGGACAGCUGAGGUUUCUCCACACCUGCCGCCCACUCUACCUCUCUGACACGAGGCGGCCUCACUCAUCCCCACCUCACCUGUCUGUCCAGCGGCUCCCAGGAACGAGGGGCCUGAGCCCCAGGGCCAGGACACCGUCCCAGGUUUUCCGCCCCUCGGUCCUGCCAUCACAUCGUGGUGUGAUGUACUUGUCUGGGAUGUCGACGUGAAUGCUGGCGCUCGAGUAGCCAAAGGGAGUUUAAGCAGCCGAGCCUCCUGCAGAAGAGCGGGGAGCGAGAUGGAAGGAACCGCACCAUGAAGCAGCGUAAGAACCCAGCAGCGGACCUGCGCCAGGGACUAGGAGUCACACACAGCAGCAUUGUUAGUGAUCACCGGGGCCUGGACACAAUUCCAAUAACCACCAGGUUAUUGGAUGAGGGGUGUUCACAUAACAGAGCCGAAUGAGCAGCAAUGAGCAGGCAUGAACUACCACCAAAGCAUCUACACGGGCAACCCUCCAAAAAAUCAUGUUGCAGGCCACAGAAGAAACUGCAGUCAUAGAAAAUCCCAACCGGGCAACUCUAGACAAUGCGUUAUCUAGCGACGCAUACGUUCAUGGCCAAUCUACAAAAAGAGGCAAGAAAAUGGGCCACAGCAGACUCAGCACAGAGCUUGGAGGAGGGGAGAGGGGGUGAC